AAAUAAAAUAUGUAACAAAAUGAAUAGUGUGUAAUCCAAACGUCUUUAGCAUGACAAAUAAAAUAUAUUAUAGUACUGCAUAUGAAAGUUAAAGUUAAGUCAUCAAAUGGUAUAGUGAGUCAUAGUGAGUCAUGGUAUAGUGAGUCAUAGUGAAUCAUGUCAUAGUGAGUCAUUGUAUAGUGAGUCAUGGUAUAGUGAGUCAUUGUAUAUCAUUGUAUAGUGAGUCAUAGUGAGUCAUGGUAUAGUGAGUCAUUGUAUAGUGAGUCAUAGUGAGUCAUUGUAUAGUGAGUCAUAGUGAUUCAUUGUAUAGUGAGUCAUUGUAUAGUGAGUCAUAGUGAGUCAUGGUACAGUGAGUCAUUGCAUAGUGAGUCAUAGUGAGUCAUGGUAUAGUGAGUCAUUGUAUAGUGAGUCAUGUGAGUCAUUGUAUAGUGAGUCAUAGUGAGUCAUUGUAUAGUGAGUCAUAGUGAGUCAUGGUAUAGUGAGUCAUUGUAUAGUGAGUCAUAGUGAGUCAUUGCAUAGUGAGUCAUAGUGAGUCAUGGUAUAGUGAGUCAUUGUAUAGUGAGUCAUGUGAGUCAUGGUAUAGUGAGUCAUAGUGAGUCAUUGUAUAGUGAGUCAUAGUAGUCAAGCUCUGUUU
ensembl:lncRNA